UAACGACUCUCGGCAACGGAUAUCUCGGCUCUCGCAUCGAUGAAGAACGUAGCGAAAUGCGAUACUUGGUGUGAAUUGCAGAAUCCCGCGAACCAUCGAGUCUUUGAACGCAAGUUGCGCCCGACGCCUCCCGGCCGAGGGCACGUCUGCCUGGGUGUCACGC
rnacentral:rRNA from 1 species